GUGUUGUUGCCGUUGCCGAGCUCCCAUGGUUGCCGCCGGCAAGAUUCAAAGAGAGUGAAGCUCGAGGAGAGAGAGAGAGAUCGACGGAGGGGGUUUCUAUUCGAACGGCCGCGCCUCCACCGCCUCUCACCGCCGCAGAUCCGCCACCGUCUACCGCGUCGCAUCACGCCACGUCGUUGCCGGAAACCGCUUUCCAAGCCUGUGUCUGUUGGUUAUGCGGUCACCGUGAGUCUCUCUGCCACCGUCCAAGCUGCCACCAGAAGGAUCCACCACAGCCUCCUCUGUUCUUGUCUUCGAAUCAGUACUGCCCUUUUUCCAGUUUCAAUCUCAGUUCUGCUAUUUCUGAAUAUGUAAUAGUAUUAAUGGUACUAACGAGCUAUUAGAGUUGCUGCCGCUGCUGAAAUUAACAAAAAGGGAAGGGAGUUACCGUGUUUAACCUAUGUGAAUUCAGCUAAUUGAGGAACCUGAUGAAGAAGCAUUAAGAAGAAUUGUACUGCGUUUGGUUUAUAUGUUAUAUUAAUUAGUUUAUUUUCUUCCCUCGUCUUUGUUAUUACAAAUUUGUAAGAGGGAUAGGAAUUGUAUGUUUUAUUUGUAUAUACUAUUAUGAGUUAGUAUAUAAAGAGUCUUGUAUAUGAAUCUAUGCUUGUUUGUAUUUUUUAUAAGAUUAGGUAUUAAUUUCCGGUUUUCAAAGAAA